UUGUCAAAGGUUCACUAGCUAAUUAGGUUAAUUAGGUGUGUUCUGAACCCACAUUGCAUUCAGCGCAUUCAGCAGUGUGUAACCAAGAUGCGUCCGGAAAAUACUUGUAUAAGUAAAUACAGAGAAUUUGUUUAAAACAUUUUUUUACCAGACAACGUGUACGGAGUCCUAUGCAGCAGUGAGAACAGUGUCGAGAAGCACCUGGAGAUGGGAAGAAGCUCCUGGCUGCCGGACAGCUGGCCGACGCACUUUCCCAUUUCCACGCAGCUGUUGGUGAGUCGGUGAGCUUUUCUCAGAAAGUCACCAGCAAUCAUUUCUUUAUUUCUGCAAAAAAAAAUAUUCUGUCUGAAUCUUAACCGACCACUUUCUGACAUCCGUGUGUAGACGGUGACCCGAAAAAAUACUUGGCCUACUACAGAAGAGCCACCGUCUACCUGGCCACGGACAAGUCUAAAUCCGCUUUACCGGAUCUAAGCAAAGUCAUCGAGUGUCAUGAUUUCCCCUUGAAGCAGCGUGCUCUAAGCGCGAAUGCGCAAGCACCUGCUUUUCCGUUGUUGACAGUAGUGACAUCUGGACACGUGUGUUUUGUUUAUGUUUCUGUCACGUCUCCUCCCUGUUCUGUCAUUGGCUGGGAUUUCACGUGUGUCUGUAUUGCCCUCAGCAAGUUUAGAGGCUGAUCAGUUUAGACGCUGAUCAUGUCCACAUAUAUACCGCGCGCCUCCCAGCACACAACGCGGAAGAUUAUCCUAGAGUUAGAUUGGUUUGUUUAGUAGUCAUAGUCACGGUCCAUGUUUAGAGUUCGUUCACGCUGGAUUAUCCGCUCCCAGUUCCUCGUCAUAGUUCAUGUUUCUCGUCUAGUUUAUCGACCCUGUUUUCCGUGGCCACGACCUUGAUUCAUGUUUAACCCUGUGUAUGCCUGUUUGCCGAUCGCCUGACCUUCGCCUGUUUUGGAUUAUGUUUUGGAUUUGUCUGCCUGUCUCUCUUUUAAAAUAAACAACUGUUCAUACUGCAAUUGCAUCCGUCUUAUCUCCGCUCCGUCACGAUACGUGACAUCGAGUUAAACCUGAUUUCACAUCGGAUAGCCCAGAAGAAGCUCAUUAAAGCCUACAGGGAGUUCUCACAGCAGUGACACCCAGACAACGUCCAGGAUCCUGAAGAGAAGAACAAGGCUGAGAAGAAGUUCAUAGACAUCGCACAGGCCAAGGAAGUGCUCACUGAGCCAGAAACAAGGAGUUCAUUUGACAAGGGUGAAGACCCAAUGGACCCUGAGAGCAAGCACGGAGAAGGCCAUCACCAUUUCCACGGGGCCUGGGAGAGUUUCCAGGGCUUUAACCCUAUUGGCUCUGGACUGUUCAACUUUAAAUUCAACUUUAACUAAGAUCAUCCAGGAGGACAUCAGUCUGAUCUGAAUAUAUAGCAUCAGGCAUGCAGCGAGAAGUGUAACCUGUUGAACCUGUUUGACACUAACUGCCAUAGAUGUGGCUACAGAAGCCACUGUGGCAUGAAGAUGCAUCAUAUGCUGUUGAAUAUUCUCAGACUUGCCAAGCUGAGCUAAGUGGUAUUAUAUAAAGUAAUUAUUUCAGGGACCAUCAGAGUGUGGGGGUUCAUUCCCAAGCAACCAACUAUCCUAAAACUAUUGUGUGUGUGUGUGUGUGUGUGUGUGUGUGUGUGUGUGUGUGUAUAGGAGACUGCACUAUUUUUCUAUCAGUUAAAUAAUGCUGCAUUGUAAAUACACAAUUAAAGAUAUUACGUAUUUAAUUAAAAAGAAAGUGACAUUAUUCUCCGAUUUCACUGUUGUAAUGCAAAUCACUAUUGGAGGAUUCCAUUAGUUGAACUUUUCAUUUUGUAUAGCACUUACAGACAUCGUCACAAAGCAUCUGGACUGACAGAUGUAGAUUUAGAUCCCUAUCGAGCAAGCUGGAGGUGAAAAACUCCCCGAGACAUCAUGAAGAAGAAACCUAAGAGAGGAAGCAAACUCAAAAGGGUCCUGUUGACACUGGAUAGUGGGAUUACAAAUCAUUACCAGUAUGCAGAUGUAAUAGAGGAAAAGGCAAACAAAUGUGUUCGUGUCAACAUCCUAGGAUGAGUACAGCAGCAGUUUUUAGCAAGCACAAAUCUGCACUAUCAAGUGUUUUCUGGUUUCUAGCUUAUUGUGAAAUCAGACUACUGAUUAUACCUUGCUCUUGAAGCUAGCCCUUUGUGCACAAAAAUGUAAAUAAUAAAGAGUAGGUAGAACAGGUAGAGUCACUAUCAUCAGGGAGAGUAGAUUAAUAUCUGUACACGUUGAUGCAAUAACAUAACUCCAGACAUAGCAGACGACCACUGAUGAAUGAUAAACAUUUUAUUCCUGAGAAAAUUCACAUCCUUCCACUUCCAAGCUUAAAAAGAAGAAGAAAAAAAGAAGAAGAAAAAAAAAACCCAGAUCAGCAUGGAGUGUCACAAACACAGCAUGGCUUUUUCACUUUAAAGGGCUUGAAAUCAAAUGGAAACACAGGAAUAAUUC